rnacentral:sRNA from 2 species
AACGUUGCCAACGGCAACGGCCCGAAGGGCGAAGCGCGCAGCGCUGAGUCAUCCUUCCCCCACCACCA